AGCCAGACUCCUACGGGAGGCAGCAGUGGGGAAUAUUGGGCAAUGGGCGCAAGCCUGACCCAGCAACGCCGCGUGAAGGAAGAAGGCUUUCGGGUUGUAAACUUCUUUUAAGAGGGACGAAACAAAUGACGGUACCUCUUGAAUAAGCCACGGCUAACUACGUGCCAGCAGCCGCGGUAAUACGUAGGUGGCAAGCGUUAUCCGGAUUUAUUGGGUGUAAAGGGCGUGUAGGCGGGAAAGCAAGUCAGAUGUUAAAACUAUGGGCUCAACCCAUAGCCUGCAUUUGAAACUGUUUUUCUUGAGUGCUGGAGAGGCAAUCGGAAUUCCGGGGGGAGCGGUGAAAUGCGUAGAUAUACGGAGGAACACCAGUGGCGAAGGCGGAUUGCUGGACAGUAACUGACGCUGAGGCGCGAAAGCGUGGGGAGCAAACAGGAUUAGAUACCCUCGUAC
rnacentral:rRNA from 1 species